rnacentral:rRNA from 1 species
GAUGAACGCUGGCGGCGUGCUUAACACAUGCAAGUCGAACGGAAAGGCCCAAUCUUGCUUGGGUACUCGAGUGGCGAACGGGUGAGUAACACGCGGGUGAUCUGCCCCGUACUUCGGGAUACGCCUGGGAAACUGGGUCGAAUACCGGAUAUGACCACAUUAUGGAUGGUGUGGUGGAAAGAAUUUCGGUGUGGGAUGAGCUAGCGGGCUAUCAGCUUGUUGGUGGGGUAAUGGCGUACCAAGGCGUCGGCGGGUAGCCGGCCUGAGAGGGUGUACGGCCACAUUGGGACUGAGGGAGGGCGCAGACUCCAACGGGAGGCAACGGUGGGAAAUAUUGCACAAUGGGGGCGAGCGUGAUGCGGAGGCGCCGCGUGGGGGAUGACGGCCUUCGGGUUGAGAACGCCUUUCGCUAGGGACGAAGCGUUAUGUGACGGUACCUGGAGAGGAAGCACCGGCUAACUACGUG